CAUGAUUUUAUAUCAGUAAGAGCCCUGAGAGAUGAUCAGGUAGAUAGGUUAGGAGUGUAAUUGUGGUGACACAUUUAGCGGACUAAUACUAAUAGCUCAAGGACUUAUCCAAAA
rnacentral:rRNA from 1 species